UCCUACGGGAGGCAGCAGUGGGGAAUAUUGGACAAUGGGGGAAACCCUGAUCCAGCGACGCCGCGUGAGUGAAGAAGUAUUUCGGUAUGUAAAGCUCUAUCAGCAGGGAAGAAAACGACGGUACCUGACUAAGAAGCCCCGGCUAACUACGUGCCAGCAGCCGCGGUAAUA
rnacentral:rRNA from 1 species